rnacentral:rRNA from 1 species
UCGAGAAUCUUUCACAAUGGGCGAAAGCCUGAUGGAGCGACGCCGCGCGGGGGAUGAAUGACUUCGGUCCGUAAACCCCUGUCAUUUGCGAACAAACCCUGCUAUUUAAAAGAUGGCAGGCUGAUUGUAGCGAAAGAGGAAGGGACGGCUAACUCUGUGCCAGCAGCCGCGGUAAUACAGAGGUCCCAAGCGUUGUUCGGAUUCACUGGGCGUAAAGGGUGCGUAGGUGGUUGGGUAAGUCUGACGUGAAAUCUCCGAGCUCAACUCGGAAACUGCGUCGGAUACUAUUCAGCUUGAGGAUUGGAAGGGGGACUGGAAUUCUCGGUGUAGCAGUGAAAUGCGUAGAUAUCGAGAGGAACACCAGUGGCGAAGGCGAGUCCCUGGACAACUCCUGACACUGAGGCACGAAAGCUAGGGGAGCAAACAGGAUUAGAUACCCUGGUAGUCCUAGCCGUAAACGGUGCACGUUUGCUGUAAGAGGAUUCGACCCCUUUUGUGGCGAAGCUAACGCGUUAAACGUGCCGCCUGGGAAGUACGGUCGCAAGAUUA